rnacentral:rRNA from 1 species
GGGUUGUGAGGUUAAGCGACUAAGCGUACACGGUGGAUGCCCUGGCAGUCAGAGGCGAUGAAGGGCGUGCUAAUCUGCGAUAAGCGCCGGUAAGGUGAUAUGAACCGUUAUAACCGGCGAUACCCGAAUGGGGAAACCCAGUGUGAUUCGUCACACUAUCAUUAACUGAAUCCAUAGGUUAAUGAGGCGAACCGGGGGAACUGAAACAUCUAAGUACCCCGAGGAAAAGAAAUCAACCGAGAUUCCCCCAGUAGCGGCGAGCGAACGGGGAGGAGCCCAGAGCCUGAAUCAGCAUGUGUGUUAGUGGAAGCGUCUGGAAAGGCGCGCGAUACAGGGUGACAGCCCCGUACACAAAAGCGCAUGUGCUGUGAGCUCGAUGAGUAGGGCGGGACACGUGGUAUCCUGUCUGAAUAUGGGGGGACCAUCCUCCAAGGCUAAAUACUCCUGACUGACCGAUAGUGAACCAGUACCGUGAGGGAAAGGCGAAAAGAACCCCGGCGAGGGGAGUGAAAAAGAACCUGAAACCGUGUACGUACAAGCAGUGGGAGCACCCUUUGGGUGUGACUGCGUACCUUUUGUAUAAUGGGUCAGCGACUUAUAUUCUGUAGCAAGGUUAACCGAAUAGGGGAGCCGGAGGGAAACCGAGUCUUAACCGGGCGUUAAGUUGCAGGGUAUAGACCCGAAACCCGGUGAUCUAGCCAUGGGCAGGUUGAAGGUUGGGUAACACUAACUGGAGGACCGAACCGACUAAUGUUGAAAAAUUAGCGGAUGACCUGUGGCU